ACAGGGAGGGGCAGGGCAGUGACACAGGCACUGGGCAGCAGGCUAGGGGCAGUGUGGGGUACGGAUAGGACAAUGACAUAGGCACUGAGGUGGGGGUGUGGUGUGGCACGGCGAGGGGCAGGGCAGUGACACAGGCACGGGGCAGCAGGCUGGGGGUUGUGUGGGGUACGGGUAGGACAAUGACAUAGGCACUGAGGUGGGGGUGUGGUGUGGCACGGGGAGGGGCAGGGCAGUGACACAGGCACGGGGUAGCAGGCUGGGGGUUGUGUGGGGUACGGGUAGGACAAUGACAUAGGCACUGAGGUGGGGGUGUGGUGUGGCACGGGGAGGGGCAGGGCAGUGACACAGGCACGGGGUAGCAGGCUGGGGUUGUGUGGGGUACGGGUAGGACAAUGACAUAGGCACUGAGGUGGGGGUGUGGUGUGGCACGGGGAGGGGCAGGGCAGUGACACAGGCACGGGGUAGCAGGCUGGGGGUUGUGUGGGGUACGGGUAGGACAAUGACAUAGGCACUGAGGUGGGGGUGUGGUGUGGCACGGGGAGGGGCAGGGCAGUGACACAGGCACGGGGUAGCAGGCUGGGGG